rnacentral:rRNA from 1 species
AUUGAACGCUGGCGGCAUGCCUUACACAUGCAAGUCGAACGGCAGCACGGGAGCAAUCCUGGUGGCGAGUGGCGAACGGGUGAGUAAUAUAUCGGAACGUGCCCGGUCGUGGGGAUAACGUAGCGAAAGCUACGCUAAUACCGCAUACGAUCUACGGAUGAAAGCGGGGGAUCGCAAGACCUCGCGCGAUUGGAGCGGCCGAUAUCAGAUUAGGUAGUUGGUGAGGUAAAGGCUCACCAAGCCAACGAUCUGUAGCUGGUCUGAGAGGACGACCAGCCACACUGGAACUGAGACACGGUCCAGACUCCUACGGGAGGCAGCAGUGGGGAAUUUUGGACAAUGGACGCAAGUCUGAUCCAGCCAUUCCGCGUGCAGGAUGAAGGCCCUCGGGUUGUAAACUGCUUUGUACGGAACGAAACGGUGAGCUCUAAUACAGUUUGCUAAUGACGGUACCGUAAGAAUAAGCACCGGCU